GACGUUUGUGGUGUCAGUGGUGGUUACAUCUGGAAAGAGAUGGGCUCUGCCAGAAUAAGAUACCUAAGAUAUGCUAUGAUAGAAUCCUUAGGACCCAUCAGGAGUUGAGAGAGCUUGAUGCAAGGCACAUCAAAGUAAAUUUGGGGCAGUUAACUUUCACGGCAUUUUCCUGUUAUGCACCAGUUUGGGUGUGUAACAUUGCAAGCAAAUUGGAAGUCCACCUGAAGAUUGUCGAUCAGGACAAGAAACAAUUGUAGUGGCGG